AGAGGUCGGCUCAGGCAUUGCGGCCCGCGCUACACAGCGGCAGCUCCGCACCCCGCUCCUCAGCGCCGUGGGGAGGGGAGGAGCCGGUUCCCCCGCCCCCUGCGGUGCGCUAGUUGCUGGGCCCGGGCAGGUGCGGGAGCUGCAGUCUCCAGCCCCGGGUUCCCUGACGGCUCGUCCCAAGGAUCACGAGUAAGGACGAACGGCUGCUCCGCGUUGCUCCCCUGUAAGCGCUGUUCCUGCCUGGAAGAGAAGGAGGCUCCCCGCAAGCCCCACGCCGCCUUGCUUGUUGAUUGGUCGGGAGCAGGAUUCCCAGCAAGCCACUUUCAGCUCCCCUUGUUGGUUUUACUUCACCAAGGGCAUCUCUGCGCUACAAACUUAAGUCCACCUACAGCCACUGUAGUAAAUGCGGUCCUGUCCACCCUAGCCUCCUUCUGUCCCUGGUGCCCGUCCUUGCCAGGAGUGCUUUCACUGACUUUAAAAGGGUAGUGUGGAGGCAACAGCCUGGCUUGGAGUGGGGAGCCAGGAGCAGCAAAGCUCUAGCUGGAGGUCCCAGUCACCUCAGGGUGACACCAGAGCUGUGAGCCUGUUUGUUUGGUUUUGGUUUUUUGGUCAAUUUCAUGGCUCCCUGCUGCAGUCAUGAAAGUCACAAGAAUGACAGCCAACACCUGAGCUGCUGUUGGAACAGGCUGUUGUUUUGCACCAGCAUCCUAGUUCUAAGGUAAAACAAGCUGCCAAGGAACACAGCUGAAGUGACAACAGGUUUUGCAUAUAACAAACAGCAAGCACAUUUUUCACAUUUUUUUGUUUUUUCUAGAAAGACACUAGAUGCCACCUUAAGAUAACAUACCAACAGGGUGAGAGAAGAAAAUAAAGACAAGAGGCUGGGGCGUUACUAAGGCUAUGGCUACACUACAAGGCUUUUAGCAAUACAGCUGUGCCGCUAAAAGGCACACAGUGUAGCUGCUGUUUGUCAGCAGGAGACAGCUGUCCUGCCAACAAAAAACUCCCGUCCCCAUGAGCGGCAGAGGCUUUGUCAGCAGGAGAGCGCUGUUCACACUGGCGUGUUUCGUCGGUUAAACUUUUGUCGUUCAGGGGGGUGUUUUUUUAACACCCCCUGAACAACAAAAGUGUUGCUGAUGAAGUGCAGUGUAGACAAACUCCCUGACUUAGCAGAUCCAAAUCCCGCUGAUAGGAGAGGACUUACUAAGGAUCAAGUAGAGUAGAAUUCCCUACUCUGGCUGAGCUUGGUACAGCAUGGCUGGGUGUCAUUUAAUAGCCUGUAGGAGGUUAGACUAGAUGAUCUGGUGGUCAUUUUUAGUCUUAAACUCUAUGACUAAGUUCCAAUGACUUGUCCCUGCUGCUACAAAGACAGCAUACUGAGAAAUUAGUGCAGUUUCAUCUCAGUAUGUAAAAGAUUUGAUUCUAGAGAUUUCUAACAGAAGAUACUUUAAGAUUGGUCAUGAAUAUGACUAAAUCCAUCAGUUUCACUUUCCUUGGGACUGACUGAUUGUAUGUUUGAGAAACUACUUUAAUAGGACAACUGUUCAGCACACAAGGCAAACUCCAAAAUUUGGUUGCACAUGAAACUCUAAUUCUCCUCCCAUGUGCGUCUAUGUUAAUAAGUCUAAUUGCAUGAUCACAUCUCAGAAUUAUCCUAUCCAUUUUUCCAACAAUUUAAGGUUUCUUUUCAUAUAACCAUUUGACGGUUAAUUGUCCACUUUAUGCUUACUGAUCUGGACUCGAUAAGAGCUCUCUUCUUACUAUUAUUCACUCUGUAUUUUUAAAAAAAGAAAUUAACUAUCUCUUUCUCCCCAACAGAACAGAUUUUGUUGGAUACAAUUAAUGGGAUGAGAAACUUAAAUACAAAGCUAAAGCUCCGCUCCCACCGCUUACUCUGCACAGGUAAAGACCCAGUUCUCCAUGAGAACUGCAAAGGUCUGCAAAGGCAGAAAGCUCUUUGCAAGAUCAAGCUUUAGUCUGUCAAAUGUUGAUAUAUAUGAUUUAUUGUAUACUUUUCAUCUGAGCAUCACAGAAUCUGACAUACAGAGAAGUACAUAGUACAACAAAUGGUAUCUACAUUGUACAUAUAAUGUUUUGUAUUAAAGGAGUAGUGUGUGGCUUUGUAAUGAAAGAUUAUAUCAAUUUAUAUACAGAAGGUGGCCUAGUUAAGGUUACAUGCAACUUUGGCACUUUUUAACUUCUGAGCACUUCAGUGUGUAACACAAGAUCUUUACAAGCAGCUUUUCCUAUAAAGCUUUAUAUUUAAAAAAGAAAUCAGUGGAGAAAAUAUUGACACUACACUACAUAUUCAUCAUGGGAGUAUGAUUAUGAUAUGAUUGGUUAUGAUGCAAUUUUUACAAGAUGAGUCAUAUGAGGUAUCAUUGGAAAAGUUAUGAUUUGCUGAAUGUUUGUCCUAUUCAUGUGCAUGUUUCAUUUUUGUAUCUGAAGUUACGAAUAUUGACUAUGUAUCUGUAUUUCAAAUGUGCUUACUCUGAGUAACACCCACAGGUAGACUUUCAGGUACAACAGUGAAGAAACUAGACAUUGUUCAUGGCCCAUCAGCAAAGACAAUGGGCUAUGGAAGAGUUUAGCCUUUCUGUAAAUGGUUCAGCCAGUCUGUAAGUAAUGGCUGCUAUGACUCAGCAAGAGCAUAUGACCAGACUACAUAAUACUGAACUCCAUUUUGGGUACCUGUAUUUUUUCACAAAUUGGGUUGUGAACUGUUUUUAGAACAAAGGGUUCCCUGCCAUAUGUUAAAACUAUAUAACGUAGGGUGUGACAUCAUCUAGGGAAGCAGUUCUCAAACUGUAGGUCGGGACCCUGUCAAGGUUCCUUCCCCACUCUGAACUCUAGGGUACGGAUGUGGGGACCUGCAUGAAAACCCCCUAAGCUUAUUUUUACCAGCUUAGGUUAAAACUUCCCCAAGGUACAAACUAUUUUACCUUUUACCCUCGGACUUUAUUGCUGCCACCACCAAGCGUCUAACAAAUAUAUAACAGAGAAAGAGCCCGCUUGGAAACAUCUUUUCCCCCCCAAAAAUCCUCCCCAAACCUUACACCCCCUUUCCUGGGGAAGGCUUGAUAAAAAUCCUCACUAAUUUGCACAGACCCAAACCCUUGGAUCUUAAGAACAAUGAAGAAGUGAUCGGGUUCUUAAAAGAAAAAUUUUAAUUGAAGAAAAAGUAAAAGAAUCGCCUCUGUAAAAUCAGGAUGGUAAAUACCUUACAGGAUAAUCAGAUUCAAAACAUAGAGAAUCCUUCUAGGCAAAACCUUAAGUUAUAAAAAGACACAAAAACAAGAAUAUACAUUCCAUUCAGCACAGCUUAUUUUAUCAGCCAUUUAAACAAAACAGAAUCUAAUGCAUAUCUAGCUAGAUUACUUACUAAGUUCUAAGACUCCAUUCCUGUUCUGUUCCCAGCAAAAGCAGCACAGACAGAGAGAACCUUUGUUCCCCCCCCCCAGCUUUGAAAGUAUCUUGUCUCCUCAUUGAUCAGGUGCCAGCGAGGUUAUCCUAGCUUCUCAACCCUUUACAGGUGAAAGGGUUUUUCCUCUGGCCAGGAAGGACUUUAAAGGUGUUUACCCUUCCCUUUAUAUUUAUGACAACCCCAAAGUCGGAUGCAACCCCAUUUUAAUGGGAUAACCAGGGAUGACACCCAAACCCUACCGCCCGAGGCUGAAGCAAAAGCUCUUGGGUGGCAGGGCUCUAAACUAGUACGCCUUAGAGUGAAGUGUCUAUGGGAAAAUCUCAGCUCCCUGAGCAAAGGCUGUUGCAUAUUCCUCUCCACAUCAAGGGCAGGGUGAACUGAAUAAUAAAUUCAUACUGGUUGGGGUUUUGACCAGGGCAGGAUAGUACAGCUCUGGGGUCUUGCACUGGGGGUUAUUUUGGCUAUAGCCUAUCUAAUGCUGGUUCAUGCAAUGGCUGGCCAGAGCCUGCAUGCAAGUGCACCUGGGUGUGUAAAACUGGGAGCGGGCUGCAGCUUGUCACAGCAACACCGUGUAAGAGGAAACCCAGGCUGAUGAGUUGGAGGGCUCAGUGGUACCCCAGUUCCAGGUGAAACCCUGGUUGGAACCCAUCACACAUGUAAAAAGGCACUUUCCAAGAUCGUAAAUUUUAAUCUUGUCCAAGAAAAAAAAGUUUGCAUGGUGGUAUAUUCCAUGAUCUGGGAACAUAUAGCUAGUUAGAAGCAGACAACCCUCUCUCGUGCACCUACAGCGGGGGGAGGACAGACACCUUCUUAAAAUCUCAGAAAUAGCAGCAAUUUAGGUUCAUCAAACCAAAGACUGUAACAGUCUACCUUGAAUCAACUCUGGGACUUGCCCCAGGAGCCGCAGUCCUCCCAUGGGGGAGGUGGGGUGAGUAGGUAGCUUGCUAAUUUUUUACCUGCUGCACUUUCUCAGUAAUUUCUGAAGUAGUAUGCUGUUUGUUAGAGGCCAUAUCUGUUAUACCUCAGGAAAAGCACAUCUAGUUUUAUGUAAACCAAACACACCAUACAAGAGAGGGUUCUGCUGGGCAUGUAUCCCUUUCAAUCUGUUUAUACUUCAUUAUAGUUCAUUCAACAGAAUUUAGGUUCUGUUUUUACUAUACCAUUUUAUAAUCUGUAAGAGUACUGCUAAUAAAUAUAUUUUAAUUUGAAAUCUACAAUAGCAGCUGUAACUAAUUUGGAAAUGUAGUUUUUAAUAGAAAAAUAUAUAAAUAGCUCUGGAGGGGUAACAAUGUAAUCAUUACUUGUCACUCCAUGAUCAUGUGUCCCACCCUUCCCUACUGCAGCAGCUAGUGUCAUGGAUUCUCCAUUGCAAUAAAUCCCGUGUGUGAUGCAGCUGCUUUAGCAUUUGAAAGCUGGUUGAAAUUUAAACAGGGAAUGUGUGUAUAAUCUUCUUGGCAAGUAUAUAAAAUAAAUCAAUAAAUGAAGCCUUACUAUUUGCUUUGAUAUGCUUGUAAAUGACACAGCAGAUUCACUUGUAAAGCUGAAGUACUGGGCAAGUUACCUGGUCAUGUAGCUUAUGUUAUUAAGCGUUGUUCCAGAGUAUCUUUCCCCACUUUUUAUUUUGAAAUAUUGUCUUAUGCAGUUAUUAUAUAUUUAUUUAUUUUAAAGAUUGUUUUGUGCCCUUCUAAAGCAGUUAAGAGCGGAGCAUAAUAAAUGAGCAAGAAUGGUAGAAACAGAAUGUGUUUUAUGAAAGAUUAUUUUUAAAAAAACAGCUGCAAAUAGAUAUUGUUUUAGAUUUGAUAGAAGGCCAAUGUUAAAGUUUAAUGAAAACCUGCAUUGAAAUAUCAGACUGUGUAGUCAAAAAUUACAGUAUACUCUUGUUAGUACCUGUUAGUAAAUAUUAAUACUUUUAGUUUUCUUUGUUUUUUUUAUAUCUAUAUCUAUAUCUCACAAUCAAACUAUUCUUUAAACUCUUUAACUCUCAACAAAGAGUAUGUCUGAAUUCUAGGGCCCAGAACACUGGUCCUUGACCGAUAACUAACCCUAUUCAGGAAUUUAUCUAUAUUUUAACAAUCUCUGAUGCCUUCAUGUCUGUACAACUCCAGAUAUUCUUGGAAAUCAUCUCCUUAACUUACUUACAUAUAUACAUACACACACAUAUAAUGCUGACAUAAGUAUGUAUAGACAAAUAAGGGAUGAUUGUUAUAGCAGAUGUUUCCUGUUGGGGAAUCACUAUGGAAGAAUGAUGGUGGGGUAAGGACCCACUGAGAGAUAUUAAAUUGUUUGUUCUCCCAGCUGUAAAUACUCAUACCUUCACACAUAAAUCAGAUAAACUGAGAAUGUAUGGAAAUGAUAUAUGUUUCUGGGUGAAUAUUCUUGGCAACAAGGUUUCCUUUGUCUGAAACCCUAUAUAAUGAUACUGAUAUGGGAACUUAGCUGAGGGAAUAAAAGCUGCACGGCCCUUCCAGAUGCAGAAGAGAUACCUAUCCAGGUCUUAGUCUGACAACAAAGGGUGGUAUGUAUCUCUUACUUUCUGUAUAGUGUUGAACUAACCUGAUUGAUAAUCUUAGAUUAAAUAAUUCCAAUUGAGCCUGUUAUUUCAACUCAGAAGUGCAACACUUAAUACAUCACUAAACUUUAAGUAUCAAAUACAACAGAAACAAACAGGAAGCCAGCACUGUGGCAAGUUUAAGACAGCUGAGCACUUGGGUCCAUGAGAUUUUCAAAGCUUUUUAAAAAUUGACUAAAUUUUUGCUAAUUUAUCCGCAAUUUCAUACCUAUCUAUAUUUUUAGUUGAAAGUCCAAUAUCCAAUACCAUCCAUGUAUAAUCUUUACUCUAUAAUUAACCUGGAUCUUUCUUCUUAGUAACUGAUGCACAUUUCUGAUACAUUAACAUUUCCCCUACAUAGUCUACAUUGAGGAUGUCAGGGUUUAGAAUCCUAUUCAACUGACGAGUGAUGCUUCUGUACUGCUUUUUUUUAAUAACAGCACAAAACUAAGUGUUUGAUCAAUCUCAAGCUGCACUUUAUUUUUUGCCAUUACUAGAAAUAUAGUAUACCUACUCACAUUUUUACAGAAAUGGCAUGAAGUAUCUUAUAUAAACUUACUGUAAAUUGGACAGUAGAAGUCUCAUCUUUGCUCAAAGAAGGAAUGGGCAUAUUUUCCACAGAAUUUUCCAAAUGCAUGCAUUUUUUUAGCUCUAGGAGACCCAGCAAGUCAAUUUAAGGUAGAACUAAUAGUUUUAUCCCUGCCCCCUCUUUACUAUUUCUUUUGUAACUGAAUGAUGUAUCUGAACCAUUUUUUGGAUAAUGAAGUAUUCUAAAAUUAGCUCUGAGAGCUAACAUUUGAAGGCUUUAAAAAAAAAAAAAAAGACUUCAAUGUCAGAGAUCAUCUUCAGUGAUAAGCCUUGCCUUUGAGGGUUACCCAAGGCCGUAUUGCCUUUGGGGAUAGAGAAGAUUUUGGGUCUCAUUCAAUACCUUUUUUAGAUUUAUCCUUAAAUAGGAAGCUGAGAGACUUUGUUUUAAGCAGCAAUUUAGUACUGAAUGCUGGAAAUGGGUGUAAUAUCCAUUACAUACCCAAGUAGUGCUUUAAACACAGUAUUUGCAUUCAAGGCAAUAGAGAUCAGCACUUAAAUAUUAAGUGUUGUAAUUUGAGUAUAGAUUGCUUAAACAUACUUUUUUUUAAAAGUUAAAACAAAUUUAAACACAUACUACUGUAUUGUCACUGUUAGCUUCUACUAGGUAUCUGAGUACAAAAAAGCAGAUUUGUCACAUCCUAAUGCUGAAUGCUCCAAACAAAACAAAAAAAAAGUCCAUACAUUUUGAACUCCCCCCCCUUUCCCUUUUUUCAGUUUGUCUCAUCACAGCCUCCCUCCUUAUGAUUACCCAACCUUCCUUCAUAUAAUGGCUCAUGAUGUAGUAACCAUAUGGUACGUACAUCACUGAACAAUCAAAGAAUGGAACCAGCUGCUAGGAUCACAUACAACCUCUUACUUUGCAGUUUCCUGUUUGAUUUUUAAAUGAAAAUACUAAUUUUAACUGUUAAGGAUGUUGAAAACUGUAUUACUGAAAAAAUGCCUGCCCUAAGGCAGAGAAGUGCCUGGAGAAAGCUGUGCCAAUACAGCAGGUUAAGUAAGGAAGACUGAAGUUCUUGUUUGCUAGUCAAAAACCAGGCAGAUUAGCAACAUAAUUCUCAGGGCAUUUUAAAAAAUUACUUUGUUUCAUUUUCUUUCAGUUUCCUUUCUGGGAGUGUGAAGAUGAAAAAGUUACAUUAUACCUCAGAACUAAGGUGACAGAAAUAUAUAAGUUUUUACGGACUGACAGUUUUUCCUUCCAAGUAGAGGGAAACAGCAAUUCCUUUGUCUGAUGGAGAAUGCAAAUUGUACUUAAAAAAACGCCCAAAAAAUAACAUAAAAUACCCCACAUCCUUGAAGUGACUGCUGUUACCCACUGUUAAUGAAAGCUGGCUUUCUAAAGACUAUUACCACACAACUGUUAUCUGAAAAUACUUUGUCCAAACACUGAUUGUUUGACGUUUAUUUCACAAUUAUAGAAACAAAGAUUUUUACACUUUCCCACUAUAGAAAUCAUUUCAACAAAGCUCAAGAUUUACCAUAAAUAAAUGAGUAAACUAGGUAAGUAACAUCAUCUUGAUUUUUUUAUGUUAAAUAACAUCUGCUUAUAUUCUUCAACAUAAAGGAAAGUGAAGCAUUAAAAUGAUUGUUUAUAAAAUUUAAGAUACCCAAGCCUUAAACAUAUGGCUUCAUUAUCAACAUCCUAUACAGUACAUUCUUAAAAUUAUAUCCAUUAUGUGUCAAGUAGUGCCUAUAUAUAAAAGAUGCAUUUUAACACAGUUUUAUGAAGUGCAAUACACUUCAGAGAGAAUACAUUUAACAACUCUAAUAUACUGUAACUAGCAUAUAGUAUUUUUCAGCAACCCACUGUAUGCAAUUAUAUAAUACUUACAAGGUAAGAGGUAAAGACCAAAUCUUCCAGCCCUCAUUAUGACAAUGUUCCCAGUCACAUCAAUAGUUUUGCCUCAGUAAUGGAUGUAGGAUUUGUCCAAAAAUGCACAACCCAAUUUGUGUUUAUGAACAAACUGAAUGUAUUCAAAUAGCAGGUCCAAAGCUUCCGACUGAACAAAACAUUUAAUACCAGUCACAUUGUUUGGUUUAAACAAAAAAUUAGACGUGUUUGAAAUUAAUUAGUGUUCGGAAACUACAUAACUAACAUCACAGCAAAAAUGUAGGUCUCUAUUUCUUGGGGGGUAAAAUGCAGACAAGAAAAAACAAAAUGUUUUCAGUAGCUUAACAGUGUUUGUACAUGUCUUUCCUCUGUCUGGGUGAGAAGAAUAAAAUCUAAGUACACAAAAUGAAUUCUAGGAACAUGCAGUACUGAUAUCAAAUGUGCAAUCUUGGUAUUUACUAUCCCAUAAGGUCUAAUUUUUAUCCCCUAGUAAAAUAAUGGAACAAA